AUUGAACGCUGGCGGCAGGCCUAACACAUGCAAGUCGAACGGUAACAGGAAGCAGCUUGCUGCUUCGCUGACGAGUGGCGGACGGGUGAGUAAUGUCCGGGAAGCUGCCUGAUGGAGGGGGAUAACUACUGGAAACGGUAGCUAAUACAGCAUAAUGUCGCAAGACCAAAGGGGGGGACCUUCGGGCCUCUUGCCAUCGGAUGUGCCCAGAUGGGAUUAGCUUGUUGGUGGGGUAACGGCUCACCAAGGCGACGAUCCCUAGCUGGUCUGAGAGGAUGACCAGCCACACUGGAACUGAGACACGGUCCAGACUCCUACGGGAGGCAGCAGUGGGGAAUAUUGCACAAUGGGCGCAAGCCUGAUGCAGCCAUGCCGCGUGUAUGAAGAAGGCCUUCGGGUUGUAAAGUACUUUCGUCGGGGAGGAAGAGAGUAAAGUUAAUACCUUGGCUCAUUGACGUUACCCGCAGAAGAAGCACCGGCUAACUCCGUG
rnacentral:rRNA from 1 species